rnacentral:lncRNA from 1 species
CCGCCUUGAAUCUCCUUCGUCUCUCAAACCCUAUCGAACCUUCCUCAACCCUAAUCGUCUUCAACCUCAAAACCCACCAGAAACAAUGGCUUCUCCGGCUAUGGUAACCUUAUACUCACCCCCCUAUUACUCCUGUGUGCUAGAUAUUUGAAGAAUCGAUACCAGACCUCGAAGGUCUUCAUCCAGACUUUUGUCGACUCGAGGUUUCACGGCCAUCGCUGGCCUUGCUCCGGCGUAUCCUGGUACUAUGAGCCUAUCUCUGACUAUUCCGACCAAGAUCGAACCUUUUCAAAGCCUUUCUCAUUCUAGGGUUCUUCUAAAACCCUAACUAUUCAAGGUUUUCUUCGAUUUUUCUUAGAUUGGUUAUAUAUUUGUGCUCUACUUGAGUUUUUGAACGAUUUCC